rnacentral:lncRNA from 1 species
AGGGGCAAAUAUAUAGAAAUCCUAAGGAGUAGACAAAUGAGGUGACAGAGGAGGCAAAAGUCCAACUAUAGGGUGAGGGGGGAAGACCUUCGGAGGGAACUUUGGAAGAGGAGGAAGCUUAGGAACUGGUGGAAAGGGUUUCUUGAAGGGGAAUGGUGGUUUUGGGAAAAAUGGGAAAGGUGGAAGUGGCUUCUGGUACACGGGAGGCUUGUAGAUUGGCACCGCCGGUGGGAGUGGCUUCUGGUACACCGGAGGCUUGUAGAUUGGCACCGGCGGUGGAAGUGGCUUCUGGUACACGGGAGGCUUGUAGAUUGGCACCGGCGGUGGGAGUGGCUUCUGGUACACGGGAGGCUUGUAGAUUGGCACCGGAGGCUUGUAGAUUGGCACCGGCGGUGGGAGUGGCUUCUGGUACACAGGAGGCUUGUAGAUUGGCACCGGCGGUGGGAGUGGCUUCUGGUACACAGGAGGCUUGUAGAUUGGCACUGGCGGUGGGAGUGGCUUCUGGUACACAGGAGGCUUGUAGAUUGGCACGGGCGGUGGACAUGGCUUUUUGACUACUGGAGGCUUGUAGAUUGGCACUGGCGGUGGAAGUGGCUUCUUGUACACCGGAGGCUUGUAGAUUGGCACGGGGGGUGGAAGAGGUUUUAUGAUUGGAGGAGGCUUGAUUAUGGGAACAGGCGGAGGAAGUGGUUUUUUGUAGAUUGGGAUUGGUGGUGGAAGUGGCUUCUUGUAAAUAGGGAUUGGUGGGAGUGGUUUCUUGUAGAUUGGGGGGAAAGGCAACUUAGGCAAAGGAGGGUGUGUAAACCAGGGAUGGCCCGUGGGCAAAGGUGGAUUCUUGAAGAAUGGCCACAAGAAAGCUGAAGCACACAGUGCUGAGGUGAACUUGACACUUUCAGCUGGACCAAAAGUCAGUUUUCCAUCAGUAUCUGGCUUGGCUACAAUUUUGUUGGCUUCAAGGCCAUUGUGCGCUGGGCAUGGGGUUGCUGAUGCACUAUGGAGUUGUGCAAAGCACUCCUCAUCUAGUUUCCCAUCUUUCAGAAUUUCUCUGGGAACGGAUACCCUGAACUUCCCUUCUGAAUCAAGCUCUCCAGAACCCCUUCUUGUCACCUCUCCAUUUUUGAGCUUGCAAUCAACAGUCACACGUAGCCCUGCAAAAGGCAAAAUCAAGAAUAUUCAAGGACUCUUUAUAAAGACGAUAGACUACACUGCAUGCAUUUUGGCCAUCAGUAGCAGAUACUUUUGGUUAUUUUUGUCAAUUAGCCUGAAUCCAUGCCAUGCCUCUCUCAACUGCAAAAUCUUUACUGCUGCGGCCCCAUUUAAGUAAAGUUAAAAUGAGCCAACAUCAUCAGAUCAAGGAUUAAUGCAUGGGACAAGCAUGAGAUGUAGACAGAGAUCUACCACACAAGUAAUUAAGUACAUGUACAGGUUCCAGUAAGUACAGCCGAAAGAAUGGCCUGCCAUUUUUAGUAAAUUUGGGAAUAUAUUGAAAGCGGUCAUGCUGUGCAAUUUGAGCUGUUUCACAUGAGCAAGCUAGGAUAAAACUAGUACGUUGUCAGAUACCCCUUACAAAAAGGUACCCAGGAUAGGACAAACCUGAGAAGGCCUGGCUAGUCUUGAUCUUAAAGUCCUUGCAAUCUGCGCAUUCUCCAGCCCCAACAACCUGGACCGUUUUGUCAUCAGCACGGCAAAAGCUGACAACAAAGAAGAUGCUAACCAAUAAGAACAGGAGAUGGGAAACACCCCUCAUUGAGUUUGCGGUUCCCUUCUCUCUUGUGAAACUAGUUUUGAGUGAUUUGAGUCAGAAAAGCGUUGUCAUAUAUAUAAUGAUGAUGAUCGCCAGGGGGAAGGGUCCGCCGACACCAAAACUUAAAGGGCAUCACAUGAGGUUAGGUCCCAGUGAGCUUGACUUAUGCCCCGGGAAAACAUUUCUCAAGCAUAAGUGAUCAAUGGCCAUUAUCUUCAUUCAAUGUCCUUUCAACUGCACAACCCGACUUUGUCCAUCUGUAAACCUACUUACCAGCGCCAUAAUUAAAUAUCACUCGCUAUUCUAAAAUCCCAUGUUGAAUUCGUGAAAGAUUUAUAUUGGGCUUUCUUUAGUUCCAAGAGUUAUUUUUGGCAGCAAAGCAUGGGCUCUAGCCAGUAAAGAAGUACCUGGACUUCUUGCUUAGAGAAUUACACACACACAAACAGAAAAACAAAAAGAGAAGGGCGCCAUGUGCUAGACAUUAAGUGACUAACUCCAAAAUCUCAAAAUCCAUGUGAAUAAACAAGCUUUUUACCCUAAUAAAUGAAUUUCCUCAACAGUCUCUCGGCCUUGCUGCAAUUCGAUUGGCCAGUAUUCAACCGUACAAGAAUUGCUUUCUUUCCAUUGCAUAAUGCACGAGAGACUGUUAAACAUGUCAGAUUAUGAGAAACUAUAUGUUGUUAUUGUUUCGCCAUGUCAGACUGUGGGAUACGGAAUUUUGAUUACAUACAGUAAUGGGUUAGAGCAAGGAGUAGUUAAGCUCUAGUUCGUACCCAAUAAUCGAGUUGCUACUGGAAAAAACUUGAAUGCAGCAGCUGGAUGGCAAUAAUGUUCACACUGCCCAUGGCUCUUGACUAGAAACUUGGCCUAAUUGAUCGGCCACUCUAACCAACCAAAGCAUGCUUCCCACCUAUGUUUCAAGGGCACAUGCACAGCCCCUUUCGGCCAGGAAGACAAGUAGGUGGCUGAAUUGUAAAGACUAGCUCAAAAAGACAGAUUUAAACAUGAAAAUGAUGUUCUAGCUAAUUAACAGGCGCUUUACUCGAUUCCUCCUGUGUAACAUUCCACGAAUUCAAAUGAGAGCCCUAAAGUUCCCUUCCGAUUCUUAGUAUUGAGAGCUGCAAUUAACCAUCCUAUAUAGUGUUCCGUAGGGAAGUUAAAAGCCUCAAAGGUCAUUCCUAAAUGGGAGUGAAAACAAGAAAUGGAAGUUCUUGCUAAAAAAGAAGAAGGAAGAAAGGUUGGGAUGCAGUGUUUGAUAAUGCCCGUCCGACACAAGAAAGAUAAUGUCCCCUGUAGAAAGAUAAUUACCAUAGAAGCCGCACACAAGGCUAUCAAAAAACUGAAUAAUGUAACGUGGUAAAGUAGCAUAUCAUGUACCAUGAAAUAGCUCUCCAUAGUUAAUUAAUCAAUCACUGCUGAUCAAUUCAGUCGUAGAAUUUGAGCGUAAACUAGGUUCAAAAGAUUGGUGAAAUGAGAUACUCCCUCCGUCCCACCUUCUUGAUAGUCCUGUUUUCCUUUUUCGUCUGUCCCAAAUUGUAGUCCACUUUCCAAUUGAAGAAUGUAGUUAUAUUUUAACUUUCAUAAAAUACCCUUAUUUAAUGUAAGUUGUUAUUACUAUAAACCUACCUACCCCAUUUAAUGAGAGUUAAUUCUCUUUUUACCAUCAAUUCAAGUUCCCAUAAAAUUGUACUCUAUUUAAUGUGAGAGUAUUUUAAAAAAAUAGCAAUCUAAAUUUAUUUUUCUAAUAAAAUUAACUACUUUUUCUUAAACUGUGUGAAAAAAGAGACCGAACUAUUAAGGUGGGACGGAGGGAGUACAUGUAAAGAACAUAAAACAAAAGAAAGAAAAACUGGUAAACGAAAAGGACUUGCAUGAAGUAGAGAAGAAAUCAGGUUAGAAUGGGUUUUGGUUGCUUUCUGGUACGCCAGUUUAAAUCACCUCAUCUAAGUUAAGCGACACUUAACCAGAAGAUUCGGUCCAUUUAAUGUAAAUGAAUCAACAAUCUGACUGUUUUGCUGACCAGAAGUGGGCCCAAUGAAGAAAAGAAAGCUCAAA